UACGUAGGGUGCAAGCGUUGUCCGGAAUUAUUGGGCGUAAAGAGCUUGUAGGCGGUUUGUCGCGUCUGCUGUGAAAUUUCGGGGCUCAACCCCGAACUUGCAGUGGGUACGGGCAGACUAGAGUGUGGUAGGGGAGACUGGAAUUCCUGGUGUAGCGGUGGAAUGCGCAGAUAUCAGGAGGAACACCGAUGGCGAAGGCAGGUCUCUGGGCCACUACUGACGCUGAGAAGCGAAAGCAUGGGGAGCGAACAGG
rnacentral:rRNA from 1 species